GCACCGGCUAACUCCGUGCCAGCAGCCGCGGUAAUACGGAGGGUGCGAGCGUUAAUCGGAAUUACUGGGCGUAAAGCGCAUGCAGGCGGCCUGUUAAGUCAGAUGUGAAAGCCCGGGGCUUAACCUCGGAAUUGCAUUUGAAACUGGCAGGCUAGAGUCUUGUAGAGGGGGUAGAAUUUCAGGUGUAGCGGUGAAAUGCGUAGAGAUCUGAAGGAAUACCAGUGGCGAAGGCGGCCCCCUGGACAAAGACUGACGCUCAGAUGCGAAAGCGUGGGGAGCAAACAGGAUUAGAUACCCUGGUAG
rnacentral:rRNA from 1 species